rnacentral:snoRNA from 1 species
CUCGAGUGAUGAAAAAAAAUUAUCAGACCUGUUCUGAACCAUACAUGUGGACAACCUAAUAUUGCCAAAAUAACUAUCUGACCU